UACAGAGGUCCCAAGCGUUGUUCGGAUUUACUGGGCGUAAAGGGUGCGUAGGCGGUGGGGUAAGUUUGAGGUGAAAGCUCCGGGCUCAACCCGGAAAAUGCCUUGAAAACUAUCCGGCUAGAGGGUUGGAGGGGAGACUGGAAUUCUCGGUGUAGCAGUGAAAUGCGUAGAUCUCGAGAGGAACACCAGUGGCGAAGGCGGGUCUCUGGACAACACCUGACGCUGAGGCACGAAAGCCAGGGGAGCAAACGGG
rnacentral:rRNA from 1 species